AGUGUUCCGAUAAAAAAAAACCCCUAGCCGCCUCUCACUUCGUCUCCUCCGGCGAUCUCUCUCCCCCAAUCCCCACACAUCUUCUCUCCCCCAAUCUCAUCCUUCCUCCGCCACAACCAGCUACUGGUUGAGCCACCUCCAUCCCAUCUUCUGGCCGAGCUCGUCGAACCGUCGUCAUAGCCAGCAGCCGCCUCACCACGCGAGCAGCAGCAGCGUGCCAUGGUCCCGGCGGCUGAGGCGGGAAGGAUGAGCAGGCGGAGGUGCUGGAGCGGCUGCGCUAGGAGAAGACCCUCUCCAUCACGCUCCGGCUCGAGGCCGCCAAGGUCGUCCUCAGCCAGCACGAGCUUUGCAAGGGCACCCCCUCCUCCUCAAUAAUUUAUCUGGUCUUGAUUUGGCUCCUCCCCUCCCUCUUCCACUCCCCAUGUUUUUUCGUUUUUGUUUGUGUAGAAGUUUUUUAUACCUAUGCGUAUAGGGUAUUUGAGGAAAAUCCAAGCAGUCUACAUGUACAGAUUAAUUUCUUCUUACGUAUGUUGCCUACUCAAUAAUUCACUGAAAAUUGCCUGCAAUCAAUGAUGACUUGCCCAUAUCAUAUUUCCAUUUCUCAAUUUUGUGACUUUCAUUUGAAAGCUAUCACUAACGAGAUGUUUGAGUACAUGUCUAGGAAAGUAAUACGUGUUAAAUUGUUUGAGACACCCAUCAAAUAGUAUUUCUCAGAUUGGAAGCUCAUAUUCAGGUCUCUUGGUUAUUUGAGAAGUAUUAGAUGAUUCCAGUAUCGGUCUUGCCUAUCAAGAGUAGGGUUGUUCUGCUGAUCAAGAGCACGGCUAGCUGGGCAUUUAGGAUGCCAGAAAAUUAUCUCCUGGUAAAUUAUUGCCGAAGUUCGUGGUAGUCGGCCAGGUUCUGGCAGCACCUGGGGACAAGCAUCAACAGCUGUGACCUCACCGACUCCACAUUGCUCUCGAGUUUUGGGUGGAAGAAGCAUGAGUUUGUCCAAGCUUGACGCCGGAUCUUUAUUUAGUAUGUCCCUUCACAGGCCACCUCACUCGUUGCUGGUAUGCUGUUGCACUCCAUCUGUCCUCCAUGCUUAUACAAUUACAGAAUACUGAUCUAUCAUGCAUACAAGCCAAACCAUUUUAUUCUGAUGUUACAAUCUGAGAAGUACAAGUAGUAACUGAGUACAUCCACUUACCAGUGUGUGUGAGUAUUUUUAUGAUCAUCUAAGGUUUAACUAGAUUCUCAUAGCCGUCGUACAAAACUAUCUGCCAGUCUUCCUCUGUAUUUAGUUUUUCCGUAGUGAUAUUAGUAAAUAGUUUGUAGAUGGUAAAUGGGUCGUAUACAUUGAUGUGUUUUUUUUUUGUUUGGCAAGUGCAGAUUUUGAUGUGGUCAUGCUAUAUUGUUCGCAGUUGGAAAUAUUUAGUACAAUGUUAGUUUUGCUCCGUGUCUCCAGGUUUCAGACUCAGUGUAUAUUUUAUUCUCUCGAACUCUUUUUUUUUCUCAUUUCCUUUGCUGAACUACACACUGUAUUCUAAGAAAAGAGGGAAUCAAAAUCUGGAAAUCCAUAUAUACAUGCUGGUUUAUUUGCCAUUCUUUGACAUUCCUUUAAUUAGAUAACAGGGAUAUGAAGUGGUUCUCCUCAUGUUGUCUGGGUCUCUGUCCGUCCAUUCUCGAGUAUGCAGUAUGCACCUUUUUGAAUGAUUAUAGAUGAUAUCGAUAAUAUCCAUAAUUCUUAAUAUUGGCUUAUAGUUCUCAGUUUCUAGAACAUAAUUAAUUGUAUGCUGGCUCUAUAUAGUACACCUCUACCAGCAUGAGAAAGAACGACAUCUUUCGCAGAUUUGUAAUCACCUUCUUAGUUCAGAAUGGAAGAUGUUGUGCUUAACCGUACGGUGCCCCUGUAAGUUCCCCCAGUUAUCUGCUGGAGCGUUGAUGAGGCACCCUUCCUCCGCUGUGACAUGUUAUGUUGCUCUCAUCUUCCCAGCAUCUCGACAAGACAUGUCAGUAGAUAUAUUCUGUUUGCGGUAAUUAAGAAGAUUAUAGGAAGGAGUUGCUUCAUAGGCAAGUCAAGAGUAGAUGGCAAUGCUUCCUUUUUGGGAGUUCCAGACUAUUUUUCACAGAAUAUGGAGGUUCAGGAGUAUUGAGGCCUGCAGUCUAAGCAAAUAGCCAGAUAAGCCAAAAUUUCCCCAUUCCUUCUCUACAGUUAAUCUCAUAGGUCUUCUUGCUAUCCUCUUCUCUUGGCCUAAUUUGACUGCUCAAUAAUUAAUGUGUUACACUCUGUUGUGUUGAGAUAGUAUAUAUCCAUAUCUCAAUUUUGUAGCCGCUUUCUUGCAUCAGGUUGGACCUCUGGUAAGAUGGCACAUCAGUCAUGGCUUGCUAUUUCUCUUCUGAAAAAUAGGGCCGUUUUACUUACAUGAGGAGUAGAUUAGAAAUUUGAUGAUGUCUUUCCAUUGUACCAUUUACUAUAUGUCCAGUCAUCGCUCAUUAUCUAUGCACACAGGCAUUUGAUGGAUUGCGAGAAGAAAUUGUAUGGAUUUUUUUUGAAUGCUUGAGCAAGGUUGUUGCCACUCGCCACACUGUCCUUUUCUAGCUGUGCAUGCUAGCCUUUGAAAUGGUGCAAAAAUACUUCUAUAUUGAUUUCAGAUAUAACAUAGACGGUGAAGGGAAAUAUCUUUCUUUUUUAAUAUUUAUUCUACAAAGGUCUGCAGGUAACUAAACUUUAUCUAAAGGAAAGACAACGAUGACUAUGAUACUGUUUGCAACUAAUAUGAUUAGGAAAGAAUAUGAGGAGGUUCACGAGAGGCUACUAAUAUUGUAGGUUUAGAAGGCGAUCAAAGUAUUUUCUUUCAGAAAUUAUUAUCCGAAUAUGUUGAUUGGGUUUUCGGACUAUUUAUCAUUUUCUCAUGAAUUUAAUGCAUUUGGAUUAUAUGUGUGUUAACUUCCCUUUUGUCGCCUCUCUAUCUAUCCCUCUGACUAGCCAUAUCAUCGCCCCUGUCCUAUCGCAAUGCCUGCUGAUAGUUUCAGUUCUGCCGAUAGUUUCACACUCUCACUCAAGUGACAAGCAUUCUUUGCCUCUUUCCCAUUUUCUCUACAAAUACUUCAGCUUAGCAACUUUUAAUGUUGAUAUCCUUUUGUGUUUACAGCAUGCACCUAUUUGAAAAGGCUGUUACUUUUUGUUUGAAAUGAUAUGGUAUAAUUCUACAAAUGUUAUUGAGAAUUGAGAAAGGAUUAUAUUUCACCAUUAGCUUCCUGAAAUGAAACUUAGUAAUGUGAGAGAUGAAGCCAACUUAUUGGCUCUUUAUCAGUUUGCCAAGAUAACAAUGUGAUUUGAAAAAUUCAAGGUGAAUUUUUUGAUUGAGUGAUGUUCCUAUCGUCUAUCUAUUACCUGAAGCAUGAAAAUAUGAUGUGUGUAAAGUGUUGCUACUGUUCAAAGUAUGGGGAUAAAUCACCCUGUUUUCCAGAUCAUAUUAGCCGGUGCAUAGAUACCUCACUGAUCAUAUGUGCCGGUGCAUACACACCUCCAUUGAUAAGACAUCCCAUGAUUUUAAAAUUCCAUUGAUAGUUCUGUAAUUGAUUGUCAAUUUCCCUAAUUUCAUUCAUAAAGAAAUAGUCCUUGUGGCAGCAACAAAUCAUGCCAUGAACAAACUUAAUUAUUAUGUUUGAUCUGCAUUUAAUCAAAGUUUGCAUCUGUCAUUUUACCUUUGAUUGUUUUCACUACUUGAAAAAGGUAGUAAUCGUACUAUUGCUGCAAGCCUUGGAUGCAGUGCUUUCACAUAUUUGUGUAGGAUAUAUGGAUUUCAUUAAAUGAGCUAAUUAAUUCAGUUUGAUCUAAUAUCUGUCUCCUAUGUAAUUAGAAUAUAUAUCAAAGAUUUGGUAGGCGCAUCAGCAUCAUCCACAUGAGAAGUUUAUUCUGACAUCUACUUUAGGAUGUGUGAGAUUUGCUAUGGAUGAUAAGGAACAAUUUCCAAUCAUUUUAGUGUUGCAACCACCAAUGUUCUGAAACUGAUAGCUUAAAAUCUGAGACUUGAGUUUAGAAAUAAAAUCAAAUAUCCCUUAUGUAUUAUAUAUGAGUGUACCGAUAAAACUUUUCAUGACGUAAUAGUAGUGGUAGUGAGCAAUGAUUAAUGUUUUCUAGCUUCCAAUUGUCAUUGAAUAAGAACAUCAGUUUUUUAUUGGCAGCAGAUGCACAUCCUGAUUGGUCAUUCAACCUUAACUUGCAGUUCACUGCCAUGAACCCAACAAUGACAAGGCAAAUCAGUAGAUACAGUGUAUGAGUGUACUAAUCAGUAUACAAGCUUGACUACCAUGUUCACUGUCAUGGACUGAGUUUCUCAACUGUAAGUGCGAUGUGAUUCCCUAGCAGAGAGGAGGAUGAAACGUGGAGCAGCUUGGUGGGCACCGAAGCAGCAAGCGUUGGCUGCCUUCAGCGGUGAUAGCUACAGAACCGUGCCCUUCUCCUCUUGUUUCCAAGAUGUGUAGUCCAGCUGAGUAUAGAGAUAUGUUAUUCACUUCUCAGCGGAUUAUCUCUACAUGGCUUUAGUUGUUAACUGACACUUUCUAUUUGUACCCGUGUGAGAUUUAAGAAGACAACAGGGAAGCAAAGGAUUCAGUUCUACUCUAAUUACCGAGGCAUGUCAGCAUGCAUUCUAUUUCUAUGGUUCUGAUUAAUUA